rnacentral:rRNA from 1 species
CACGUAGGGUGCGAGCGUUGUCCGGAAUUAUUGGGCGUAAAGAGCUCGUAGGCGGUUUGUCGCGUCUGCUGUGAAAUCCGGAGGCUCAACCUCCGGCCUGCAGUGGGUACGGGCAGACUAGAGUGCGGUAGGGGAGAUUGGAAUUCCUGGUGUAGCGGUGGAAUGCGCAGAUAUCAGGAGGAACACCGAUGGCGAAGGCAGAUCUCUGGGCCGUAACUGACGCUGAGGAGCGAAAGCAUGGGGAGCGAACAGG